UGAACUGUCCGAAUGAAUCAAACUGAAUCGCGAACCAUAUUUCAGACCUUUUGACCGAUUAGAUCAAAGGAGUGAUUCAUUUUUAAAUCUGGCGUUUAAUUCUGAUUCUAAACAGCUGAUCGAAAACAAACGGACAUGGAAGUGAUUCACUGCUCAGUAUACGAGCCACAAAAAUAAGUCACCAUGACCUGCGCUUCUGCCUCUGUAAAUUCAUCUCUCCUGCAUGCUAAACCACAGCCGAGCACAUCUUCAGCAGGACAUGUUCUCAUUUACACCCGACAGACACACGAUGUCUAUCUACAGUCACAUUUAAUGCCAGCCUCUAGAUGGCAGUGGUGCAUUUCAGGAUGACACACAUCAGUACGGGAAGGGAAGGGACUGACGAAUCGAUCAGGUUUGGGGCCGUGAGGAUGAGGUCAGACCCGCGGUCCAUCUGUGGAGGAUCAGGGCUGUAGAGGACCGUCCAGGCCUGCCUUCUUACCGUAUCACCUUCAGAUAAGAAGAGAAAUCUCAGAGAGGACACAGUGCAGACGCUGCGUUUAAACAUUGCCACGGGAAAUGUGAAGACGGGGGACAGACAGAAGAGAAAUAGGAACGAGAACAAAGGAUAUGUGAAGAUGAAGGUACAAAGGGUGACCGGGGAGAGAGAGAUGAUAAAAUAAGACAAGGCAAUUCCUUUUUUCUCAUGCACCUCUGCAGAAGAGCUCUGAGCGUCUGUAAGGUUUGAGGUAAACAUGUCCUCUGUUUGUGUGAGUGUUUACUGUUAACUCUCCUCUCCCUCCCUAUAACCGGUGUCCCCCGACCCUCGCCGGAGCCCGAGUCCUGGCCCCUGACGGCCCCUCACUCUGUUUACCCCAUCUACCUCUGUUUACUGCCACACAGAAGAGACAUUUGCCACUGUCACACCAGCUUUCCACAGGGCUGAGAAUCAGGUCAGGAUAACAAACACACUGUGAGACCAAACCUUUUCAGUGGAAAUGACCACGCAGUUUGAGUGAAAAGUGUGAUUCAGAAAUGAACAUGCAUGUGAGAUUGUGUGAUUGUUAUGUGUCAUUAGAGUUUCAUCAGCUACACUAAUGAUCUAGUGAUCUAGUGUUCUCCGGCUUGAUUGGAGAUGUUUCAUUGAGCUUCAGUGGAAGCAAGGAAAUCUACAUGUGUACAGUGACACAUUUUAUUGAUUUU